UUAAUGACAGCGAAGAGGACUAGUAGUUUGUGUAUUUUCCACAGAGAGCCGGCGUUUGGUGCAAGCCGGUAAAAUGCGCAACCGAACUCACCUUGGAGUCAGUGUAUGUGAAACUAAGUAAGAUACACCGUUUUCCGCGUUAAGGAGUCAAGUUGAGCGAGCAGUCGCUAAUUUGGGUGGUACCGCGGGAAAAUCCCGUCCCUUAU
rnacentral:ncRNA from 1 species